UACGUAGGGGGCAAGCGUUGUCCGGAAUUAUUGGGCGUAAAGCGCGUGUAGGCGGCUCGGUAAGUCUGCUGUGAAAGUCCAGGGCUCAACCCUGGAACGCCGGUGGAUACUGUCGAGCUCGAGUCCGGAAGAGGCGAGUGGAAUUCCUGGUGUAGCGGUGAAAUGCGCAGAUAUCAGGAGGAACACCGGUGGCGAAGGCGGCUUUCUGGACAGUAACCGACGCUGAGGCGCGAAAGCUAGGGGAGCAAACAGG
rnacentral:rRNA from 1 species